UACGAAGGGGGCUAGCGUUGCUCGGAAUCACUGGGCGUAAAGCGCACGUAGGCGGAUUGCUAAGUCAGGGGUGAAAUCCUGGAGCUCAACUCCAGAACUGCCUUUGAUACUGGCGACCUUGAGUCCGGGAGAGGUGAGUGGAACUGCGAGUGUAGAGGUGAAAUUCGUAGAUAUCGAGAGGAACACCGGUGGCGAAGGCGGCGAUCUGGACGAUGACUGACGCUGAGACGCGAAAGCGUGGGGAGCAAACAGG
rnacentral:rRNA from 1 species